GGGGGUGUACUGGUUUCGACGGGGGAUGGCAAGACCGCAACUUGCGUGCCGAGUUUGACGUGGGCUCGCAAAACACGUCAAAACAAUAACUGCUAAAAACAAUAAUUUAGCUUUCGCAGCUUAACACCUGUGAACUCUCCACCUGCUGUGUCUG
rnacentral:tmRNA from 1 species